rnacentral:rRNA from 1 species
GACGAACGCUGGCGGCGUGUUUAACCCAGCCAGGUGGAAGGGAAGGGCCCGCUUUUGUGGGGUGUCUGAGUUGUGAAUCGGGGAGUUAAAAGGUAGUUAACUGGCCUUUGCCUUUGGGUUACUUUAGGUAACCUGGGCUUAAUACGGGUAGGAGCUUCUGGCUCAAGGGUGGGGGUGGAAAGGUUUGGCGGUUGGGGAUGGACCCGCGGCUUUUCAGCUUGUUGGUGGGGUAGUGGCUUUCCAAGGCUUUGAAGGGUAGCCGGCCUGGGAGGGUGACCGGCCACAUUGGGACUGAGAUGCGGCCCAGACUCCUACGGGAGGCAGCAGUGGGGAAUAUUGCACAAUGGGCGGAAGCCUGAUGCAGCAACGCCGCGUGCGGGAUGACGGCCUUCGGGUUGUAAACCGCUUUCGCCUGUGACGAAGCGUGAGUGACGGUGAUGGGUAAAGAAGCACCGGCUAACUACGUG